rnacentral:misc_RNA from 1 species
GAUGAAGAACGAAGUGAAAUGCGAUACGUAAUGUGAAUUGCAGAAUUCAGUGAAUCAUCGAAUCUUUGAACGCAUAUUGCGCUCUUUGGUAUUCCGAAGAGCAUGCUUGUUUGAGUAUCAGUAAACACCUCAACCUCUUCUUAAUUUUUCAAAAGGAGGGUGGACUUGAGCUAUCCCAACAACCUUUACCGGUCGGCGGGCGGCUUGAAAUGCAGGUGCAGCUGGACUUUUAUCUGAGCUAAAAGCAUAUCUAUUUAGUCCUCGUCAAACAGGAUUAUUACUUUUGCUGCAGCUAACAUAAAGGAUAAUUGUCCUCUUUGCUGACUGAUGCAGGAUUUUACGACACUUUAUGUGUUGUUCAACUCGAUCUCAAAUCAAGUAAGACUACCCGCUGAACUUAAGCAUGUCAAUAAGCGGAGGA